rnacentral:rRNA from 1 species
AUUGAACGCUGGCGGCAUGCCUUACACAUGCAAGUCAAACGGCAGCACGGGAGCAAUCCUGGUGGCGGGUGGCGAACGGGUGAGUAAAGUAUCGGAACGUGCCCAGUCGUGGGGGAUAACGUAGCGAAAGUUACGCUAAUACCGCAUACGAUCUAUGGAUGAAAGCGGGGGAUCGCAAGACCUCGCGCGAUUGGAGCGGCCGAUAUCAGAUUAGGUAGUUGGUGGGGUAAAGGCUCACCAAGCCGACGAUCUGUAGCUGGUCUGAGAGGACGACCAGCCACACUGGGACUGAGACACGGCCCAGACUCCUACGGGAGGCAGCAGUGGGGAAUUUUGGACAAUGGGCGAAAGCCUGAUCCAGCCAUGCCGCGUGCAGGAUGAAGGCCUUCGGGUUGUAAACUGCUUUUGUACGGAACGAAAAGGUUUGGCCUAAUAAGCUGAGCUCAUGACGGUACCGUAAGAAUAAGCACCGGCUAACUACGUGCCAGCCGCCGCCGUAA